rnacentral:rRNA from 1 species
GACGUAAGGUGCGAGCGUUGUCCGGAUUUAUUGGGCGUAAAGAGCUCGUAGGCGGCUCGUCGCGUCGACCGUGAAAACCCGCGGCUUAACUGCGGGCUUGCGGUUGAUACGGGCGGGCUAGAGUUCGGUAGGGGAGACUGGAAUUCCUGGUGUAGCGGUGAAAUGCGCAGAUAUCAGGAGGAACACCGGUGGCGAAGGCGGGUCUCUGAGCCGAUACUGACGCUGAGGAGCGAAAGCGUGGGGAGCGAACAGG